CCCCAUUUCGUUCUCACAACCUAACCCUCCAAACCCUCGCCCGCUCCGUUUUCCGGUGAUCUACAGAGGGGGGAAUCAGGAGACUUUCGCGGUGGAUUCCGGUCACUGCCGAGGAGGAUUCCGGCAGGCCUACGUCCUCGAAUGACUGCUCCGGCAAUAUGGUAGAGAUGUCGGACUUGGUUACUCGCAGAAAACCCAAGAGGCUGAGAUCACUCGUUUGGAAUGAUUUUAAGAAGAUAAAGAAGAAUGGGAAAGAUCUUGCCAUGUGCAAAAACUGUAGCAAGGAAUUUGUGGGCGGUGGCACAACUCAUCUGAGAAAACACUUGUUAAGAUGUGUCAAAAAACCUAGCACUGAUGUUGCUAGUCAAGUAGUUGCUGUAAGUGACAAUAACAAGGAAGAGACACCGCCACUUGCAACGCCUGAGCCUCCUAAGAUUAUAAGUAGUGUCAAAUUUGAUCAAGAACAGAGCCAGUUUGAUCUUGCCCGGAUGAUCAUUCUACACGAUUAUCCAUUUUCCCUUGUUGAACAUGUUGGUUUCAAAAUAUUUGUAAAUAACCUCCAGCCGCAGUUCAAGAUGGUGUCCCCCAAUACUGUUAAGGCUGAUUGUCUUACGAUUUUUGAGCAAGAGAAGGAGAAACUUUAUGAUGUUUUAGACAAACUUCCUGGAAGGGUUAACCUGACAGCAAACAUGUGGACAUCUUACCAGAAUGUUUCAUACCUGUGUUUGACCGCACAGUACAUUGAUGAAUCUUGGGCAUUACAGAAGAAGAUUCUUAAUUUUGUGGUGGCGGAGCCUCCCUACACAGGAGAAGCAGUCUCCGAGCUUAUUAUGACCUGCCUAAUGGAUUGGAACAUCUACCAUAAAUUGUUCGCAAUCACGAUGGAGACUUCUUCGACAAACGAUACUGUAGUAUCAAGAAUUAGAGGUCUUCUUACAGAAAAGAGGAUGCUUGUGGGUGGUGGCCUUUUCUUUCAUGUGCAAUGUGCUACACAUUGCCUGAGUCUAAUUGCUCAGGAUGGGUUAGAGUUAAUAAAUGAGGUGGUCCAUAAAAUAAGGGAAAGUGUCAAGCUUGUCAAGAGUUCACAAGCAAGGGAACAAAAAUUUAAUGAGGUGGCUAAUCAAGUUCGUGUGCAUAGUCAGAGGAGCAUGUGCCUUGAUAUUCCCGCACAGUGGAACUCCACUUAUCUCAUGAUGGAAGUUGCUUUGGAAUACAAGGAAGCAUUUUCUUAUUUGCAGAAACAUGAUCCCAGCUAUGGUGUGGCACCAACUGACCGAGAGUGGGAAGUAGCAAGCCUGAUUAGUAAUCAUUUGAAAUUACUGUAUGAAGUUGCUAAGGACUUUUUGGGGACUAAAUAUCCAACUUCAAACCUUUACUUUCCCGCAUUAUGUGCCAUGAAGUUACAACUAACCGAAUGGUCCAAGAGCAUAAAUAGUUUUAUUUGUUCCAUGGCUGCAAAGAUGAAGGAAAACUUUGAUAAGUACUGGAAAUUCAGCAGCAUGCUUCUGGCGGUGGCAGUUAUUUUGGAUCCACGUUUUAAAAUGAAACUGGUAGAGUAUUAUUACCAGCGGAUUUAUGGCAAUGGUGCUGCUGAACAUGUCAAGGAAGUCUACGACAGUAUUACAAAUCUGUACAAUGAAUAUGCAGGCCAUUCAGCAUCAAAUGUGCCUUACCAAGAAUAUAGUGGCCAAGUUGGAAGUGUUCAGGGUAAUGAAUCUAAUGGCAACCUCUUGCCUGAUGUUACAAAUGAUAUCAGGGACAACUUGAGGGGGUUCGACGAGUUCCUUAAUGCUACUACAGAAACCCAACGAACAAAGUCAGAUCUAGAUCUCUACUUAGAAGAGGGUGUAGCCCCUAGAAGUCACGAGUUCAACAUUUUAAGUUGGUGGAGGAUCAAUGCGCCCAAGUAUCCAGUAUUAUCAAGAAUGGCCCGUGAUAUUCUUGGUGUUCCUGUGUCAACUGUUGCAUUUGAGUCAACAUUUAACACAAGGGGGCGUGUACUGGAUGCAUAUAAAAGCUCACUGGAUCCACACACAGUGCAGGCUUUGAUUUGCGCACAAGAUUGGCUGCUGGAUGAGUUUGAUGGUUCUGCAUUGUCCAUGGAGCAAACUUGAUCUGCAUCACCAGUAUGUCUAGCUUUUAGUGCAUUAAAAGGGACUGCUAUACAUGUGUGAGAAUGUUGUUCUGAGUAUUGAGUGAUCAUCCUUUACUUUUAUGGAUUUUAUUGAUGGAUGAAAAUGAUCAGACUCCUUUCAUUCUAAAUCACAUCAUAUGUGGAUAUGACAAGCUAGCUUGGAUCAGGUCAUGCAAGUGAAGUAAUUUAUGUCACAGUUCUUAUUUGCCUAGUCCUCCAUUCUGCAGUUGUCAAUGCCUUUGGAACAUCUGAAUAGGUGGUAGUCUGGCGUGAAAUCUGUGUGUUGAAUUCAAAAUAUUGAUGGUUAGAGAUCACUUAUAGUUGUCAGGUUCUCCACAGUCCACAUGUAAAAAAUUGUUAGUAUAUGGUCGUACCCGACCCAUCUGUUGGGAAAGUUCUGAAUCCCAAGGGCGGGUUAGUUAGUAGCUUUUUCAGACAGUCAGUCCUGUUCGAUCAGAAGCAUGUGGGACCGGCCUAGCUAUUCUUGUGUGCAGCCAUGUUUUGCGUAGUACGUUAUUGGUAAUAUGUAAACAGAAUGUGGCAUAGAAUGAAAACUCUCUCUCUCUCUCUCUCUCUCUCUGAAGAAGCGCGUCCACCUUACGUUAAGGUGGGGCAUGCGAUUUUGCCGUCUUCAUGUGAAAUUGUAUAAAGAAAAUUUUGUAGCUAGUUGGGCAGUGUUUUAUUACUUGUUCCGUUUUAAAUGCACACAUAUGGCCACACAAUCUGUUUGUUAUUAAAUGUGAAACGGGUGGGCCAUAUGUAUUUGGAGG